rnacentral:lncRNA from 1 species
GGGGAGGUACUUUUGGGAUAGCAUUGGAAAUGUAAUUGAGGAAAAUACGUAAUAAAAAAAAUUAAAAAAAAAAAAAGCACCUACUGAUUCCCUACUUGGCCAUGGUCUCAAAUACUGGUGUGAAGGGAGCUUUAGUCUUUGGGAUCUGUUUCCUUUUCUUCUCUUUGAGAAUUUUUCCCUGCUGUGUUUUCUAAACUGACCCACCUCCUGAGCUUUGGUGGUGAGUCCUGCCACAGACUCAAAAAUAGCUAGGAUGGCAGGCAUAGGCCACCAUCUUGGCCCUAGGCUCCCUCUGCAGGCAGGAGAAAUUGCACCCUUUUUUCCCCCCUCUGAGGGACUGGACAGAAACUUUGAUUAAAUAUCUCAUAGGAAGGAUUUCAGAAAUGACUCAUUUAACUAGCCUAAGCUUGAUACAAUGGGGAAAAAUAAAAAUCCCAAAGGCAAAACUCUUCUGUAAAAUGAAGAACAAAAACAAAACAAAACAACAACCAAAACCCUUACUUUAAAGCACAAAAAGAACUCAGAGUUAUGAUUUUUGAAACAUUUUACUUUUUUUUCCCCCCCGGGGGUUGGUUAGACCUGAAGCCCAUCAGUCGGGAGUGAAAUUUGCAUAUAUUUGUUAAUUAAAAUUGUUUUUAGUUCCUUCAUAGGAGCAGCUGCUCUGCAGUCAGUAGUGAUCAUUUGCUUCCUUUGUUAUCAAGCUGCAUGUAUGGUUGACAUAGCUUAAAACAACAAACAUUCUUUAAGUAUGCUGACUGUACACAGAACAAUACCAGGUUUUCUGACAAUGUACAAAUGAAUAACUAAGUAGACAUUAUCUUUAAUUAUAAAUUAAAUGUUGAAUGUUCUAUGAAAAAUAAAGCCUUGGGAAAUUAAUAUUUUAUUACAAUUUAGUAUAGUAGUCUUCAGUUGGUUUAUCAAUGAUCAGAAGGGCAUAAAGAAACAACUUUGGGUUGGUAAGUUUAAUGAGUUUAUAUUUUGUAAAUAAACAUUUUACAAUGUACAUAAUAUCUGUAUUGUUAAUCCAAGUAUAGACUAGAUAGUCUCUGUGGAAACAACUGAGGAGACCAAUUAUGUUAUUGUUUUCCUUCUCUGUGAACUACUCUCUACCCAACAUAAUCAGGUUGAGAUAUCUGGUAAGCUAGUAAGGGGUGAAAGUACAAAGUGUCUUAAAAGAAUAAAUGAAAGUACUAUAAGCAUAUCCUAAAGACAGCAGACCAUUGUCUUGAUGCAGGCCCAGGGCUGUGAGCUAAGCUGUAGCCAAGAGGCUUUUGCAUGGAACUCUAUGAGAGGUGCUGAGAAAUGAAAUCAUCUUACACAUCAAAGAUAUGCAACAUAUGGAUUGGGCUUCCACUUAUGAGAAAAGGUAGUCUAGAAUCAUGUACAAAAUUACCUCCACUUUCAACAGUCAAGUUUACUGUAAUAGAGAUAUGUUGUAUUUUUUUUCUUGCAUAAUGGCUCCAAAUACCACAGAAGUAUCCAUUAUACACCAAGUAUCUUUUAAGAAAUGUUUUCCCGACUAUUCACUGAGUACAAGUAGUUCCCACUAGAGGUACCAACAUUAGUGCCCCUCAUCAUUUGCUGAAAUUAUUCUAGCAGGUUUACAAUUCUUUCAAUGUAUGGGGCAUGCAUGUGUUUCACUAGCAUUGUUAAUAAUUCAGAGCUGUAGGGUAGCAACUGUUUACCCAGCGGAGGAAAAGUUUUGUACCCAGACAAAAGUAUAGUAGGUACAAAUCUAAGCCUGAAGAUAGGAAUAAAUUGCUCCUGGAAAUAAUCUGACAUUAUUCUAUUGUUCCAGAAGGACUUAAAUUAAGAUGAUGUAAACACAAAAAUUCUUCCUAGUUUUUGUUUAUGCAUCUUGAAUACACUUUUAUUAAUAUGUAAAAUGAAUACAUGUGGCAAGUUUAAUAAUUCUAUUCCUAAAUAAACACACUUUUUGAUAAGAAAAAGAAAAACAAUUAUUUCUUGAUUUAUUCCAAAUGAGCUACAGGGCCUAAAACAUAACACAGGCAAUAAUGAAUGC